UGGGUGUGUGUGCAAGCAAAAUGAAGGCAAGGGAGUGAGGCUGGCCUGGUUAAUGGAACACUCAAUUUUCAAAGUCCUGGCAGGGAAGGUAGCUUCUAAGGCGCCUUCCGAUUUACCUCACUUUUAUCUGCGCGCCUUCGCCUCCCUCUUCCCCCUACGCCUCCGGCGGCGCGCCUCCGCCUUUUCCCGGCCCCAACAUGGCGCCUCCCUGUGCGGCGUGAGCGACUUUGGAGCCGUGGACCACCGCGCUCCCUCGGCCGCCCCGGGGCCCGCGUCAGCCUUUCCACACAAAAACCGGGUGAACCUCAGCUCCGACCGCCAGAUUCCCGAGCCCCUUCGUGACGGCGGGAGAGCAGCCCGCUUGUCCGUACAGCAGCAUGGCGCCGCCCCACGCUGGGCAGGCGCAUCCCGCCUCCUCCCGCUCGGCACUGAGCGCUGCCCACCGCCGCGGGCGGAGAGGACGGCCGGAGCUCGGCGCCAGGCGAGCCAGCGAGCGAGCGAGGCGGCCCGGCGGGGGUCGAGACCCAGGCGCUCAGAGGGCCGCACGUCCCUCCCGCCCUUCCGCGUCGCGGGCUCCGCCGGACUCGCAGCGGGAGUGACCCUAGGAGGUCGCCGACGCCGCGGCAGGAAAGUAAACAGACGUAACUGAGGAUGUCUGAGAACCUUGACAAGUCCCAUGUAGAUGAAGCAGGAGAGUUGAAGCCGGCUGCCUCCGAGCAAGGCCUGGAAGGUGCUCUGGAGUGCUCUGAUGAAACUGUACAGAAGAAAGUGAAGUCGGACUCCGUUAGUCCCCAAAGAGCGGGAAGACCUCAUUCUAGUCCUCCUCGGCUUGUCACUGUAGAGGAACUUCUAGAAACAGCGAAAGGAGUCACCAACAUGGCUCUAGCCCAUGAAAUUGUAGUAAAUGGAGACUUCCGGAUUAAUGCUGUUGAAUUAGCCGAAGGCAGCUUGGAGAAAAGAGUAAAAGAGAUUGUACAUAAAGCAUUCUGGGAUUGCUUGAGUGUCCAGUUAAGUGAAGACCCCCCAACAUAUGACCAUGCCAUCAAACUUGUAGGAGAGAUCAAAGAGACUCUGUUAUCUUUCUUGCUGCCUGGUCACACUAGACUAAGGAACCAGAUAACAGAAGUCUUGGAUGUGGAGCUGAUAAAACAAGAAGCGGAGAAUGGGGCCCUAGACAUUUCCAAGCUGGCAGAAUUCAUUAUUGGCAUGAUGGGGAUAUUGUGUGCACCUGCUCGAGAUGAGGAAGUUAAAAAACUAAAGGACAUUAAGGAAAUAGUGCCUCUUUUCAGGGCAAUAUUUUCUGUGCUGGACCUAAUGAAAGUCGACAUGGCCAAUUUUGCCAUCAGUAGCAUUCGGCCACACCUCAUGCAGCAGUCAGUGGAGUAUGAGAGGAAGAAGUUUCAGGAAGUGUUGGAGAAGCAGCCGAACUCCCUGGACUUUGUCACACAGUGGCUGGAGGAGGCCUCAAAUGACCUUUUGACUCAGAAGUACAAGCAUGCCCUGCCAGCUGGGGGAGGUGCUGCUGGCUCUGGGGAUGCUCCACUGCUCACCCCUGUUUCUGUCCAGAAUUACGCCUACCUGAAGCUUCUGAAAUGGGACCACUUGCAGAGACCUUUCCCUGAGACAGUUUUGAUGGACCAGUCUCGUUUUCAAGAGCUCCAGCUCCAGCUGGAGCAGCUGGCCAUCCUGGGAGCUGUGCUGCUGGUCACAUUCAGUACCGCUGCACCUGGAGUUUCUGGGCAUGCCGACUUUGCCGAGAAGCUCAAGAUGAUGGUGAAGAUUCUGCUAACGGACAUGCAUCUGCCAGUCCCGAAUUUUGACCUUCUUGGAGACAUACCUUGCCUCUGGCCAUCAGAAGCUCUUGCCUACAGUGCCUGGGGGAUUGGGUCCCAUUCAGAAAGAGCUGGAAGAAGUUGCUGUGAAAUUUGUGCGCCUGGUCAACUAUAACAAGAUGGUGUUCUGUCCUUACUAUGAUGCAAUACUCAGUAAGCUCCUCCUCCGCUCCUGAGGUAGACCAGACUGUCCUUGAAGUCACAGAGAUGUGUCUGUCACCAUGUUGGAAUUAAAGGCAUGUACCACCACUGCCUGGAUUUUUGUUUAUUUGUUUAAAAGUGAUUUCUAAUCUAUAAUAUAUGCCAAAUUGGGAGUGGGGAGGGGAGCUGAAUUAAAUUUAAAUUCCCAUUUGGGAAGCCGAGGCAUGAACAUUGAAAGUUUGAUACCAGUAGAGAGAGGGGAGAGAAAAUGGGGAGAGAAGGGGGGAGGGGAAAGGAGAGAAGGGAGAGGGGAGAGAAAGAGUUCAAAAUGUACCCUCCUGUCUCAGAACCUGGGUUCACUAUAAUGGCAGGCUGGCCACAUUUAGGUGGGAGUACUUUCAGAGAGUGAAAGCUCAUCUUUUAUUGUGUGUUCAAUGAGGCUGCUUCUGGAAGGGCUCUGUAGGGCAGAGAUCACUGACAUCUGUCCUUAUCCAGCCUUAUUCAGGCUCAGUAUCUGGAGGCAGAAGUGUUUGCCUGAGUGAUUGCCUGUUGGGACUUUUAUUCCCCUCCAAGGAGGCUUCCCCCUGAUGCAGCAGGUGCAGCCACCACUUCCUUAGCUUUCUUCCAAAGCGCUAAAACACUCUAAGAGUUAACAGCUUUCCCCUCCUGGUCUAAGCUGCUGGAGUUGAGGCUGGGCAACUUUUAAUUUUGAUGUGUAAACAAAGACAUUCACAGACUUCCAGCUCAGGACUUCAUUACCGGGAGUGAGAGUAUUGUCAGGAGUCCAGAACAAAGGAGGUGUGGUCCACUGUCCUGGUAUUCAGGGAAUCCUUUUUUGCUUUGUGAAAGUAACUUAGUUUUCUUUCUGAGCAUGUCAUAGGAUUAACAGUGAAAGCCAGACAAGUCCUCUUAGGUCACUUACUCAGGAUCCAGUGCUCACUGGUGGGUUGUAUGAUGUAGCUCAGUGGUAGAAUGCUUCUCUACCAGCGUGGAGUCCCAGCCCCCCUUCCCCCCAACUCAUGCAUGCAUGCAUGUAUACACAUGUACUUCUCCAGGAGCUGUCUUUCCAGGACAACAUAUCCUUUUGAGUAUGAUCAUCCUCUGCAAUGACGUGAAUUUUAGCUUCAUGACAUAAGCUUCCACUUGACUUCCCAACAGGAUUGUGGACAUGCAUCUUCUUGUGAAUCUGUUGUUGGUGCUUCAAGCUACAGUUUGAAUCUGAUUUUUGUUUGUUUUUGAGACAGGGUUUCUCUGUGUAGCCCUGGCUGUCCUGGAACUUGCUCUGUAGACCAGGCUGGCCUUUAACUCAGAGCUCCUCCUGCCUCUGCCUCCCAAGUGCUUGAAUGUAUGAAUUUAACAUAGUACCCCAUGCUUUGUUUUUGUUUUUGCUACAUUUUGUGUUGUUACUCUCCUUCCUGGGUUUGACCUUUCUGGGUACAGUUAGUUUUCCAUCUUUCCUGGAAAUGAGUCAAGAAGAGGUCUAUUUCCUUGGUAGUAACCAAGGAGCAAAAUGUAGGUUUUUUUGGACAAUUCUUCCCUCAUUAUAAUUUGGUUAAUUGGCUUUAAGUCUCUUAGGUGCUCUCUGUCUAGUUCAUGAGAAAAAUGUACUUAAGUUCCUUUUGAAAUAUAUUCAACUGUGAAUGAGACUUAGUGAGUCCUUGAAGAAUUUCAUACUGACGUUGCUUUUAAGAAAGAUGAAAGAGCCAGGUGUAGUGGCACAUGCCUUUAAUCCCAGCAUUUGGGAGACAGAGGCUGGUGACUUUCUCUGAGUUCAAGGCCUACAGAGUGUGAGCUCCCUGUGAGAACUUGUCUCAAAAAAAAAAAAAUCCCAAAAGAUGAAGUAGGGAUUGGGGAGAUGGCAAUUAAGAACACUUAAUGCUCUUUUAGAGGACCAGUGUUCAGUUCCCAAUACCUAUACCAGGGGCUCAUAACUGACUGUAACUCCAGUCCCAGGGGAUAUGACACCCUCUUCUCAUGUCCAUGGGCACUACCUGCAUACAGCAUAUACAUAGACACACAUAAAUAAAAAUGAAUCACUAAAAAAAAAAAAAAAAAGGAGUGGGCUGGAGAGAGCUUGGUGGCUAAGAGCACUUCAGCUUUUACAGAGGACCAAUUUCAGUUCCCAGCACCGAUGUCCAGUAGUUCAUGACCACCUGAGACACCAGUUCCAAGGGAUCCAACACCCUCUCUGGCUUCUUGGGGCCCCCCACAUGUGGCAUGCAUACCUAAGAAUAAACAAAUUUUAAAGUAAA